GCCGGCGUGGCGGAAUUGGCAGACGCGCUGGACUCAAAAUCCAGUGUCCGCAAGGACGUGCCGG
rnacentral:tRNA from 1 species